UACGUAGGGGGCAAGCGUUGUCCGGAUUUAUUGGGCGUAAAGAGCGUGUAGGCGGCCAUACAGGUCAGCUGUGAAAGUCGGGGGCUCAACCCUCGAAUGCCGGUGGAUACUGUCGGGCUAGAGUGCGGAAGAGGCGAGUGGAAUUCCUGGUGUAGCGGUGAAAUGCGCAGAUAUCAGGAGGAACACCUAUUGCGAAGGCAGCUCGCUGGGACGUUACUGACGCUGAGACGCGAAAGCGUGGGGAGCAAACAGG
rnacentral:rRNA from 1 species